GUUUAAUGUUAUAGAUCAAAUUUUAUUGCUUUAGUCAAAGAACACUUUGACAUCUGAAGAAAGCUGAGUGUACUAUUCCCAAGAAAAUGUACAACUUCAAAAAAAGGCUGUUGAAUAAAUGACCUCCUAAUUAACAUCCCCUGCUGUAAGAACCCAUUCCACUACUGAAACUCAAACUAAACUUUUAUUUGAAAUAACUAGAUGAGUGGGAAUAUGGCUCAAUCUAUCAAUCAAUGUGGGUCCUUGGUUAAGUAUGACAUUAUGAUAAUAAUAAUUCUCCUAAUCCUACAGGUUCUUUAAAGAAAUAUGUGUUCUUAAAAAAAGCUAUUUGUGGGCUUCAGAAGUGAGAUAAAUCUCUAAGAAUCCAGGUGCAAGUGCACCUCAGUCAAACCUUCAAGCGUUCCAUGUGUAGCAGGCCUGCCCCCCUGCUGCAGCUCCCCAAGGUGUCAAGGUGUCCCUGGGUACUAACAAAGCUUAAAGGGACAAUGCAGUAUAUUUCACAUCUUUUUGGAGAAACACAAGAACAUGUGUCAGACACCACGAGAACUUCUAGCUCAAGGUAGUUCAGUUUCAUUGAGGAUCCCACUUUGCAGGGAUGUCAUGUUUUGGCAGAGCUGGGCACUGACAUUUGCUGUGAUUAAAAGGAAGUCAUGCAUGAAAAACAACGUGGAGCAAGAAAUGACAACAGUGGCUUCCGACCAGAUUCCCAGGUUUGAGAAGCUAUACCAUGUACAACAAGCACACAUAUCCCAUUAGCAAGUGUUUUAGUCAGCUUUUUCGCUGCUGUGACUAAAGGACGCGACCAGCACAAUUAUAGAGGAGGAAGAGUUUAUUUGAGGGCUCACGGUUUCAGAGGUCUUAGUCCAUAGAAGGCUGGCUCCUUACCUUGGGAUUCAAGGUGAGGCAGGACAUCAUGGCUGGAGAGAGUGAUGGAGAGAAGCAGCUCACAUCAUGGUAAUCAAGAAGCAGAGAGAGAGACUCCACUCUCCAGAUACAAAUAUGUACACCAAAGCCAUGCCCGAAUCCCACCUCCUCCAGCCACACCCCACCUCUUUGGUUCUAC
rnacentral:lncRNA from 1 species